AGAAACCUAAAUGUGCCCAUCCACUCAGGCUGCUGGGAAAAGGCUGUUGCAGCGCUGCACAUUUGAUGUGAACAAGAGCUCUCCAAAGGCUGGCUGAUUCUGAGCACCAUCAUGGCUGAAAGGAAAAGAGCACAGUUUGUUACCUGAAAACAAAGAUUAACAGAGAAUAUACCUUGUAGUAUAGUUUACCCUGAGGAAAGCCAGCUGAGCUGAGUAUGCUCGAGCAGCCCAGUGGAGGAGUCCACAUGAGAAGAAUAGAGGCAUCUUUCCAAGAGUCAUGUGCACCAUCAUGAGGAAUUUUAAACUACUCCUUAACUUCUUGGUCCACAGAAAUUGUCAGGAAAAACAGGAAAACAGAACAAAGGCUGGUUGUUCGGACAACCCUGCGAGCCCAGCACGGGUGACUCAGCAAGCUGGCUGGGAAGUGUUCUCUGUGUAAAUCCCUCUGAGGGUGCAGCUUACCUGUGCCCAGUGAACAUCAGCUGUGAAUAAACCCUGAGAGCCAAGGGAGAUGGUAAAGAGCAAGAGUCCUUGUAGUAAUAUCCUGAUGAAUGAACAGGAGGGGCUCACAAAAGCAAGCAGAAAGACCAACAAAGGGCUGGUAAGAACCAAUGGGCAGAGUAGAGAUGGGCAACACUGGGUGUGGGGCUGGGUUACUCUGUGUGCUCUGCAGUGAAUGGUUGCCACCUCCUUUCCCUUCUCCUGAAAGUCUGGACAGUGUCACGCUGGUCCACUUUCAGGUUCUCAAAAUUGCCAACCUUAUUUGCUGCUCCGGGCCCUUUCAGGAACAUCCCUUUGCUCCAGUUAAUCUUCAGCCUGAGCACCAAAGUCAUUCUCUCAAAAAGCUUUUUCAGAUAUUUGCUCCCCUUCUAAUUAGAUGAGGCCUUUAAUUUCAAUUAGUUAUUUAAUGUCUGUUUCUUUCAUUAGAAUGAAAGUCUCUUAA